GAUGAACGCUGGUGCAGGCUUAACACAUACCAGUCGAGGGACCGGCUGGCGGUAGAGUAACACGUAUCCAACCUGCCCUUUACGCGGGGAUAGCCUUUCAAAAGAAAGAUUAAUACCCGAUAUAAAGGAUGGGGAGGCUUUCCAGUAGGUUGUUGGUGAGGUAACGGCUCACCAAGCCUUCGAUGGAUAGGGGUUCUGAGAGGAAGGUCCCCCACCGUGGAACGGAGACACGGUCCAAACUCCUACCGGAGGCAGCAGUGAGGAAUAUUGGUCAAUGGGCGCUAGCCUGAACCAGCCAAGUAGCGUGAAGGAUAGAGGCUUACGGGUCGUAAACUUCUUUUUAAUAAGAAUAUGUAUUAUAUGAAUAAGGAGGGGCUAACUCCGUGCGAGCAGCCGCGGUAAUUC
rnacentral:rRNA from 1 species